UUGAGGAAUAUUGCGCAAUGGGCGAAAGCCUGACGCAGCGACGCCCCGUGGGGGAUGAAGGUUUUCGGAUUGUAAACCCCUUUCAUGAGGAAAGAUAAAGUGGGUAACCACUUAGACGGUACCUCAAGAAGAAGCCACGGCUAACUUCGUGCCAGCAGCCCGCGGGUUAAUACAAA
rnacentral:rRNA from 1 species